AUGGACGCACGGAUGAGGCUGAUAAUUCAGGCAGCAACACUGAUUAGUGUGAUUCAGGCAUGGGUCAUGUUCAUGCACCAGAGAGCUGUUCGUCGUGCUAGGAGACCUUUGAUCCGCUAUGGUCCAUUGUUUAUCCGAUAACAGGAGAGUAUCCAAAAUCUGAACAUCUACAACCGCAAUGACGUCGAGGCUCUGUGGAUGCUUCGAAUGAAAAGAACACCAUUUGCCAGGCUUGUCGAGACCUUCAAGAGCAGGGGGCUGCUACAAGAUAACGUCAACAAUAGUGUGGAAGAGCAAGUGGCCAUGUUUCUCCAUGUUGUUGGCCAUAACCAGAGGUUCAGGGUCAUUCACAACUCGUUCAGGAGAUCAAUGGAGACCAUCUCUAGGUACUUCAAGUAG
rnacentral:rRNA from 1 species